CAGAAUUUUUGUUUAAGGCAAGAAUCAGAGUCAAUUUUUCUCUCUCAAAUAUCUAAGACUGUCUCCUCAAAUCAAAUGGUUCGUACCUGAGACUUGAAAUUUUCUUAUAGAGCUUAUACUAAAAUUGAGAAUGGAAAUGGGGAAUGUGUCAAAGAGACAACAACCCGACCACAAAAAAACAACAGCAGAAGGUCACGAACAGGUGUUCAAUGUAGCGAGAAAUUUCCGCACCUGGAGGCGUCCUUCAGCUGGUCCCUUAACAAAUAUAGUUCAGUGAUAAUGAACGCCAUACUAAUUUCCAAAUUGUACACAAGAAACUAAAAAUAAAAUAAUACAAGACUUACAAAGUCUAGAGGCUCCUGACUUGGAACAAGCGCAAAAAUGAGGCGGGGUGACAGGGGUUCUUUAUUCAAUUUGUUAUUUAUAAAAUAAGCUGGUGCAUUUGGGGUUAAACAUGUUUUCGUAGGUAAAUAAUAUUGUGGAAUUUCUUUUUCUUGAGGGUGCAAUAGUCUAUAGAGUAUUUACUAUUACUUUCUGUUUGGUGGAAUAGUGAAAUAGAAGUCAAUACGUUCUUGCUCAAUCCUGUGUUGCUUUGAAGGUUUCCUGAUUGUCAUGACAUCCUCAGCCUAAGCAAUGUUUAUUACUGUAAUUUUAAUUUCAAAAUGACCGUCGUGUGCCGUUUUUUCAACGCACUGGUCAACUCCACCAUAGCAAAUCACAUGACUUUGACAAUCAGUAAAUACCACCGAAAAAUAUCUUUAUAUUAAGUAAAGAAUUGUCGUAUAAAAAUUAAAUACUCGGGAAAUGGCAAAGUUCACGAAGUCUAGUCUGAUAAAAUAAUUUUACAAAAAAAAAAAAAAAAAGUCCGAGCAAAGGGGGGGCGUACGCCCUCUACGCCCCCCCCCUGAAUCCGCCACUGGAA
rnacentral:lncRNA from 1 species